GGCAUCGAAAGCUUCCAGAUCCCUCUCCCAGUCUCUCUCCUAUAAUCCUAUGGCUUGGUGGCCGUCUCUCCCCAACCACUCGGCUUCUCGCCCCCUGCCCUCCAUUGCUCCCGACCCCAAUAGCGCCGCUCUGACCUGCUUUUGCGUCGCCGCCGCCGUCAAAUCGCUUCCGCUCUUCCACGCCAUCUCCACCGACAAGGCUGUCUGGUGAGCGCGCCGCCCUGCUCGCUGGAGCCAACCACCACCAUGCAUGCCCAUUGCGUGGGCAGAAGGCGCAGCACAAGGGCCUACUGCUUGGUGGAGAGGAGGGCAAAGUCGCGACCUUUUCAUUGAGUAGAAGCAUCGGCGCUGUGCUGUUCCGCCGUGCCCUCCUCCUCCAAAGUCGGCCUCCCCUCACGCUUCUUCAGCGGCGCCUACCGAGAGGCGAGAGAGGAAGUUCGCUCCGAUCUGGAAAAGUUCUUCGCAGGCCAUAAUGAACCUCCUCAAUGUCUACGUCCACGCCAACCUGGCCGCAACGCUCGCCCUCUCGCCCAUGACCUCCUUUCGCGUCCGCGUCAUUCGGGGGGCACCCACCGCGCCUCCGCCACGCUCAUCUGCGUCGCGCACGGCGCACUACCUCCUCGCCACUGUGCCGCUCGACGAUCCGACGCCGGCACGGCAGCGAGCCCCUCCUUGACGACGCAGCAGUGCACCGCGUCGAGCUGCCGUUUAAACGAAUUUUUGUGACAUAAUUUUGAGAAUGGGAUUUCAUGAGAGAAGUUGGUACAAGUCACCGCACCAGAGCAUCGUGUGGGCAGGUGGUUUUUUAAUUAGGCACAAGCAAACGGCUGAAAAUUCGUCCCCAUGCAGCUUAGAGCGGGCCGUCGCCGUCGUGCCCGCCGCCGCCGCCGCCGGUUCCACCUGCAGUGUCCGCCGUGACGACGUCGACGAGGAAGUCGAAGAGGUCGGUGUUGUGCACGGCCGUGGCGACGUCCUCCCUGUGCACGGUGCGGCGCUUGCCGUCGAGCGUGGCGGCCCAGGCGCGGCGCGUGAGCUCGGCGACGAAGAGCUCGCACGCCUUGGAGAACACAACGGGCGCCUCGCAGGAGAUCAUCCUGGCGCCGCCGUCCGCGGCGGCCGCCGCCUCCCCCGCGGAGCGCUUCAUGAUCUUCUUGAUGCGCGCCAGCGGCAGCGCGUGCGGGCCCGUCCGCGCCGACACCCCGCCGCAGAAGAUCCCCGAGUACGGCCUCGCCUGCCUCAUGGUGGAGGAAGGAGCGCGUGGCGUGGCGCGGUGCGUCGCAUCGC
rnacentral:misc_RNA from 1 species